rnacentral:lncRNA from 1 species
AUGACAUCUACAAUACCUUCAGUAAUGUGCUCAAACUGUUUACAAGAAGAUGAUUAGGUUAUAGGUGUAUGUGCAAAAAAUUGCAUAUAUACCACUUACAAUGGUGAGAAACUGAAGCAUAUUUCAAGGGCUAUGAAACCAUAUGCCCCUAAACCUUGUGUGGAGAAUGCUUUUUUAUCUUGUCUUUAUUUAUAUACACCAUAUUACUAAUAACCUGAAAUGUUCUAUCACAAAAUUCUGCCAUUUUAUAGUUGUGGAAAAAAGUAUUUUACAAAUUCAUGCUGAGGAAUUUAUUCUCACCUUCACCUGCUCUCUAAUAAGAAGUCCUUAUGAUGGACAGCACUUAGGAGUGGGAAAAAGAAAUUUAGUGAAAACAAGAAAAGACUGGGACUUAGGCUAAUGAAGACUGAUUCUUUGCCAUUUCAAAUAAAAUUGAAUUUAUUUAUGAGCUUGUACAGUUUUAAAGAUAGGAACAUUUUUAUGGAUAAAUUCUAUACUGACCAAGGUUCUAAAUUUGUAAAAUAAUCUAUACCAAUGGCUGGUGCCAGGAUGUCUGAAUAGAAUGAGAGUAAUAUCCCAUUGU